rfam:Human gut metagenome DNA, contig sequence: F1-S_019179.
UAUGAAAGUCCCGGACGGCAGCCGCGAAUGAGCCAUGCUUGCAUGAGCGAAUCCACGGGUAUCGGACGGGCAAGCCGGUAUGAGCAAGGAGCGCGAUAGCGCGGAUUGCGAAUGCUGGCGACAAUAGCGGGAGCACCAAAGGUGCGGAGCAAUCGGCUUUCAUUG